rnacentral:rRNA from 1 species
CCUUCGGGUGAGCGGCGGACGGGUUAGUAACGCGUGGGAACGUACCCUUUUCUACGGAAUAGCCUUUGGAAACGAAGAGUAAUACCGUAUACGCCCUUUGGGGGAAAGAUUUAUCGGAGAAGGAUCGGCCCGCGUUAGAUUAGAUAGUUGGUGGGGUAACGGCCUACCAAGUCUACGAUCUAUAGCUGGUUUUAGAGGAUGAUCAGCAACACUGGGACUGAGACACGGCCCAGACUCCUACGGGAGGCAGCAGUGGGGAAUCUUAGACAAUGGGCGCAAGCCUGAUCUAGCCAUGCCGCGUGAGUGAUGAAGGCCUUAGGGUCGUAAAGCUCUUUCGCCUGUGAUGAUAAUGACAGUAGCAGGUAAAGAAACCCCGGCUAACUCCGUGCCAGCAGCCGCGGUAAUACGGAGGGGGUUAGCGUUGUUCGGAAUUACUGGGCGUAAAGCGCACGUAGGCGGAUUGGAAAGUUGGUGGUGAAAUCCCGGGGCUCAACCCCGGAACUGCCUCCAAAACUAUCAGUCUAGAGUUCGAGAGAGGUGAGUGGAAUUCCAAGUGUAGAGGUGAAAUUCGUAGAUAUUUGGAGGAACACCAGUGGCGAAGGCGGCUCACUGGCUCGAUACUGACGCUGAGGUGCGAAAGUGUGGGGAGCAAACAGGAUUAGAUACCCUGGUAGUCCACACCGUAAACGAUGAAUGCCAGUCGUCGGGCAGUAUACUGUUCGGUGACACACCUAACGGA